AGCUGAAAUCUAGUAGCAUUGAGUCGAGCCUCUCCUUGGUCACUUUCAACUUGUUCUCUCUUGGGACCCAAGUCAAGUCGAAGCCUCUCUUGAUCAUAUCCGACGCUGCUUCGUCUGCGUUCUCGUAGGUCCGCACUCCAGAGUCCCAGAAGAUUCUCAUCUUUGUGAACGGCGUCUGAAA